UACGGGGGGUGCAAGCGUUAAUCGGAAUGACUGGGCGUAAAGGGUGCGUAGGUUGUUGGAUAAGUUAUCUGUGAAAGUUCUGGGCUUAACCUGGAGAGGUCAGAUAAGACUGUUUGACUAGAGUAUAGGAGAGGGUAGUGGAAUUUCCGGUGUAGCGGUGAAAUGCGUAGAUAUCGGAAGGAACACCAGUGGCGAAGGCGGCUACCUGGCCUGAUACUGACACUGAGGCACGAAAGCGUGGGGAGCAAACAGG
rnacentral:rRNA from 1 species